AUUGAACGCUGGCGGCAGGCCUAACACAUGCAAGUCGAGCGGCUGAACGGUGAUUGCUUCUGGUUACAGCUGGGGACGGGCGAGCAAUGGCUAGGAAUAUGCCUGGUUGCGGGUGAUAACGUCCGGAAAUGGGCGAUAAUACCGCAUUCGCCCAGAGGGCGAAAGUGGGGGAUCAUCGGACCUUCCGCCCUUAGGUGAUUCUAUGUCGGAUUAGCUAGUUGGUGGGUUAAAGGCCUACCAAGGCGACGAUCCGUAACUGGUCUGAGAGGAUGAUCAGUCACACUGGAACUGAGACACGGUCCAGACUCCUACGGGAGGCAGCAGUGGGGAAUAUUGGACAAUGGGCGAAAGCCUGAUCCAGCCAUGCCGCGUGGGUGAAGAAGGUCUUCGGAUUGUAAAGCACUUUUGGUGGGAAGGAAGAGCAGUAAGUUAAUACCUUGCUGUUUUGACGUUACCAACAGAAUAAGCACCGGCUAACUUCGUG
rnacentral:rRNA from 1 species